rnacentral:rRNA from 1 species
AGAGUUUGAUCAUGGCUCAGAACGUACGCUGGCGGCACGCCUAACACAUGCAAGUCGAACGAAGUAGCAAUACUUAGUGGCAGACGGGUGAGUAACAUGUAGGUAUCUGCCCUUUGGCCUGGAAUAACACGAGGAAACUUGUGCUAAUACCGGAUAAGUCUUUACGGAGAAAGCUUUAUGCACCAUUGGAUGAGCCUGCACUUGAUUAGUUUGUUGGUGGGGUAAUGGCCUACCAAGACUGUGAUCAAUAGCUGAUUUGAGAGGAUGAUCAGCCACAUUGGGACUGAGACACGGCCCAAACUCCUACGGGAGGCAGCAGUGGGGAAUCUUGCACAAUGGAGGAAACUCUGAUGCAGCGAUGCCGCGUGAGUGAAGAAGGCCCUUGGGUUGUAAAGCUCUUUCGUCGGGGAAGAAAAUGACUGUACCCGAAUAAGAAGGUCCGGUUAACUUCGUGCCAGCAGCCGCGGUAAU